CGAACUCGGGUCCUUGCGCUUGCGAGGCAGGCCACCGAACCACUGAGCUAAAUCCCUGGCCUCUGCAUUUCUCAACCUAUGCACACACCUCAUGUUCCUCUGAGUUGCUUUCCUCCUGUGACUCUACAGAAGUGAAGGGGAAAAUGAACGGAACUCGACACCAUCAUGGACUUCACAAAUAUUGUCUCCUCGCGCAACUACGUUGUACAUGAAGUCCCUGGGGCUCAGUGAAGUGAUUCACGUAGAGUCCUACAGUUUCAAACCGGAGUCCCGACUGAUUCCUACAUCACGCGUGCUUCCUAUGAGGAAGUGAAGCCAGCAAAUGCAUGAACGAUACCAGCAGAGGCAAGAUCUGAGCAUAAAACAAAGAUCUAAGUACCCAGCUAAAUGCAUAGGAGCCAUACUGUACAUGUACAAUGUAGGUGACCCGAAGUUAUUUGCAUGGGAUUAGAGGGGCUUCUCCAUAUCUCUCUAUCUCCCCAAGAUGGAACAUUUCUCAGGAGAUGGAAGAAUUGAUCUACAGGCCUCAGUGGUGAGCAGUCUGUUGCUGUCUUCUCUUAGAGUUCUACAGCGGAGAAGCUCUGCUUCCUUAGCAAACGCACUUAGGAUCACAUUGACAUUUCAUUUCAGAGCAAGCAGUCAUGGAUUAAAGCACCUAUUAUGCAAAAGUCACAGUAUGUGUAGAUUCGAAGGGAAUGGCAGUAAACAGUCAAUUCAUUAAUCAAUUAUUGCUACAAUUCCAAACCAAACUGACAACUCAUAUUAGUUGCAUGAUUUUUUUAGAAAAGUGCAACAACUUUACAUAUACUGAUCUCAUGUUUUUCACAUUGAAGUUUUAAAAAGCUGGUAUUUUCUGUUAGUUAAAUAUUGAUUACUAUUUUUAAAACCGCCCUCAUGACAAUGACUGUACAUAUGCAAAUAGGAUGCAAAAUGAGAGCCACGGCUGUCCAGAUGGAGGCUGAGCAGAACAGAUGCUGCCUUCUAGAUGUGCACUCUGGAGGAAGAGGUAUUCAUCACAGUGAGGCUAACAAUGCAGCUCGUGAUGGUUAUAGGUGGUUUCUAAUUUACAAGAUGACUGACGUACGCAGGACAGUCAAAACACAUUAGACAGAAGUAACGAGCCUCGGCUUCAAGCAGGCAAUUUUCAAGGGAGUGAGGAACAAGGAUAUGGCUUGUCUUGUUCCUUAAUUACUGAGCUAAUUAAUCGCCAGAAGUGAAAUUGUUGCCUCUAGACACCUUAAUAUAGGCACAGUGGAAGGAAAAUACAGAGCUCAGAGCACCAUUCUGACAGAUUAAUAAAAACAUCUCACCGAGGGAAAGUUCUAUCUGCUAAUAUUAUGGUCCUCAAUAUGUCUUUUUCCAUUAAGCUAAGAAAUCUUUUAAGAUACUUUCACUUUUUGUACUUCAUAGAAAGAUUGGUAUUUUUGCUUAGAAUAGUCAAAGCAAGGGAGAAACAUUCCAAGCAAAAUAGACUAUUUUUGUUAGUUAGCAAUGAAGGGCUUCAAUAAGGAAUUUGAAUGAAGUCUAUCGAACUUCAGUCGAUUUUUAAAGGCAAAUUAGGCAUUAUUUGACCAAAAUUUGUGCUCCACACUCAAAUAUUAAGACCACAUUUAUCUCUCACUUUUCUCUGAGUUACAUCUGUGGUGCACUUGAAAUGUUAGCAAGGUCUGCAAAAGAAUCAGAAUGUUGGGGAAGGCAUUAGUCUCACCCAAGCCAGGUGAUAGUGGCAAAUGACAGCAUUUUCAUGAGAGAGAAACCUCACUCCAUGUAAGGUAGCACGAUGAUGUGGAAUUCUGUACCUGUGUGAAAUCCCUUGGAGUUGAGAUCCUAGUAGAGCUGAAUAAAGAUGGAGGAAGAGAGGAGGAUGAGGGAGAAAAGAAGGCGGAGGAGGAACAGGAGGAGGAGAGGAGGAAAAUUGUGAUUUAGUAGAAACUGUAAAUGGCCUCUGUACUGAUGUUGGAGUCCAACUCACUCGAGAAAUGCACCAUGGAAUUCUGGAUAAUGUAAUGCAAUUUCAGACCAGUAUUCAUACACAGGGAAAUGGAGAAUUGGGGCCAUUAUGUAGAUAAUGAAAACUAGAAAGAUUUAAAAGACUAGCAAGAUAAUCUUAAGACUGAGAUGGGUAAAGGGACUACGUGGAGAUAUGGGAAUGCAUAAAAGGACAACUACGGUGGUGGCAUACAAUAAGAACAUGGGAGUCACAUUUUAUAGUAAAACAGAAAUGAAUGUUCAGAGAAAGAGUAUUUUAUUUGUGCUAAUUAGCAGAGUGCUAUACUCAAGAACAUCAGAAUGUACAGUAAUCACAAACAGACCUAGGGAAACUUCACAUUAAAAUUACAAAUUAGAUUUUACUUUUCAAAUUACAUGCAUUUAUGUAUAUUUUUUAAUAAUGGGUAAAAUAUCUUAAAUGACAUGGCAAUUAGAAUUGGAAUUCAGAAAUACUAUUUUCAAGCUUCAAAUCAGGAACAAUUCCACAGGUUGCUUUCACUGUGAAUAAAGGCCAUCAUUUCAACUCUGUCCUGUUAACACGGUAACUUCUAACUACACUGGGUUGAUAGGAACAGCAGCUUUAAGAAUGCAAAGUUCUGAAUCAAGUGCAAGCAUUUAAAACUCUGAUGGGCUCAAAAGAAACUCUCUAUGUAGUUCAGGCUGUCUUUGAACUCACUGUGUAGCCCAGGCUGGCCUCGAACUUGC